rnacentral:rRNA from 1 species
CGAGCGCAACCCUCGUCCUGAGUUGCCAUCAUUAAGUUGGGCACUUUAGGAAACUGCCGGUGAUAAGCCGGAGGAAGGUGGGGAUGACGUCAAGUCCUCAUGGCCCUUACAGGCUGGGCUACACACGUGCUACAAUGGCAUCUACAGUGGGCAGCUAUUCCGCAAGGAUGCGCUAAUCUCCAAAAGAUGUCUCAGUUCGGAUUGUCCUCUGCAACUCGAGGGCAUGAAGGCGGAAUCGCUAGUAAUGGCGCAUCAGCUACGGCGCCGUGAAUACGUUCCCAGGCCUU